UUACACAAACCAGAAAGAAGGCUCAGGGAGCCCUUGUAUGGUAGUGUACAUAGUAUGUCCAUUUCCUGAACCUUCAGCAGUUUUAAGGCGAUUGUUGAAUCGUCUAUAGCACUUGGAUCAGUAAUACAGUCAGAUAGAGACAGGAGAUCGAUACUUAACAGUCAUGUUGCAAGGGCGUUUGGUAGUUCUGCUGCUGUUGACGAAACAUCAAUAUCUCACAUUCUGUCAUCCUCCCCUGAAAAUGGAUCUUAUAAACCCAGGGAUUUUAUCAUUACACGCAUUGGGAAUUUUUUCGAGCUUGAAUACCUAGGUAAAUUGUAUUCUUUUAUACCAAACAUCGUCAAUGCUCCACCAUCAAUGCCAAACAGCUAGAAACUCCAACGUUCUCCUCCAUUACUUCGCAUAUCUAGUUUCCUUUUCUGCGUAUUUUAUGACCGUUUGGUUCAGCAUUUUGUAUGGACGCAUUUUCUAAGUAAUAAAAAAAAAUCGGUUUAUC